rnacentral:rRNA from 1 species
AUUUUCUGCCACCGAAUACAUUAGCAUGGGAUAAUGGAAUAGGACCCUGUCCUCCUAUUUUCAGUUGGUUUUGGCAGCGCGAGGACUAGGGUAAUGAUUAAUAGGGAUAGUUGGGGGCAUUAAUAUUUAAUUGUCAGAGGUGAAAUUCUUGGAUUUAUGAAAGAUUAACUUCUGCGAAAGCAUCUGCCAAGGAUGUUUUCAUUAAUCAAGAACGAAAGUUAGGGGAUCGAAGACGAUCAGAUACCGUCGUAGUCUUAACCAUAAACGAUGCCGACCAGCGAUUAGGAGACGUUGAAUACAAAACACCACCAUCGGCGCGGUCGUCCCUGGCUCGUCGUCUCACGACGGCGGGCGGGGGCGGUUUAGCCCGAUGGCACCGGUGAAUGACUCCCCUAGCAGCUUGUGAGAA